rnacentral:tRNA from 1 species
GGGACGAUAGCUCAGCCGGUAGAGCAGCGGACUUUUAAUCCGUUGGUCGCGAGUUCGAAUCUCGCUCGUCCUACCA